rnacentral:rRNA from 1 species
CCUACGGGAGGCAGCAGUGGGGAAUAUUGCACAAUGGGGGAAACCCUGAUGCAGCAACGCCGCGUGAGUGAAGAAGUAUUUCGGUAUGUAAAGCUCUAUCAGCAGGGAAGAAGAUGACGGUACGUGAUCAGGCACCCCCGGUUACCUACGGGCCAGCAGCCGCGGACAUACGUAGGGGGCAAGCGUUAUCCGGAUUUACUGGGUGUAAAGGGGGCGCAGACGGCAGUGCAGGUCUGGAGUGAAAGCCGGGGGCCCAACCCCGGAACUGCGCUUGAAACUGUGGGGCUAGAGUACUGGAGGGGCAGGCGGAAUUCCUAGUGUAGCGGUGAAAUGCGUAGAUAUUAGGAGGAACACCAGUGGCGAAGGCGGCCUGCUGGACAGUAACUGACGUUGAGGCUCGAAAGCGUGGGGAGCAAACAGGAUUAGAUACCCCAGUAGUC